rnacentral:rRNA from 1 species
GUGCGUAAUAGCUCACUAGUCGAGUGCUCUUGCGCGGAUAAUGUACCGGGGCUAAGCAUAUUACCGAAACUGUGGAUGCAUAAGCAUGGUAGGAUAGCGUAAUUAACGCGAUGAAGGAUGACCGUAAGGACAUGUUGGAGCGUUAACUAGUGAGAAUUCCGGUAUGAGUAGCGAAAGAUAGGUGAGAAUCCUAUCCACCGAAUGAGUAAGGUUUCCCCCGGAAGGCUCGUCCGCGGGGGGUUAGUCGGGACCUAAGGCGAGGCUGAAAAGCGUAGUCGAUGGACAACAGGUUGAUAUUCCUGUACCGAUAUUUAAUUGCCGAAGGAAGGACGCAGAAGGAUAACACAGGCCACUAUUGGAUGUGGUUUUAAACAGUUAGUCUUCAUAAGAGUCAAAUGCUUUUAUGUUUAAGGAUAAGCUGUGAAUGUACCAAGUUUACUUGGAAAUUGUGUGAUUUCACGCUGCUGAAAAAAGUUUCGUAGGAAGAAAAUAUUGCCCGUACCGCAAACCGACACAGGUACUCAAGUGGAGAACACUAAGGUGAGCGAGUGAACUAUUGUUAAGGAACUCUGCAAAAUGAGUCCGUAACUUCGGAAGAAGGACUGCUGGUUUUAUACCAGCCGCAGCAAAUAGGCCCAAACAACUGUUUAUCAAAAACACAGGUUUCUGCAAAAUCGUAAGAUGAAGUAUAGGGGCUGACGCCUGCCCAGUGCUGGAAGGUUAAAAGGAGGACUUAGCUUCGGCGAAGGUCUUAAUUGAAGCCCCAGUGAACGGCGGCCGUAACUAUAACGGUCCUAAGGUAGCGAAAUUCCUUGUCGGGUAAGUUCCGACCCGCAUGAAAGGCGUAA